UUUUUUUUUUUUUUUUAACCCACCAUGCUUGGCUGAGGAUUGAACCUGUAUCCUGGCAUCACAGGGAUGCUGCCAAUCUCAUUAUGCCACAGCAGGAACUCCAGCUACCUCUUCUGAGAUACCUUCUGUGUCCCUGAUCUGCAUCCCCCAGCAAAAACAAAUAUUUUAGACACAUUUUACGUAAAUUCCUUUCACUGCCUAUGAGAUAUCCUCCCUUCCUCAAUGCACUUAAAAGACUAUGCUGGGAUUGUUUAUAACUCUGUCUCCCCACUGGUUCAAGAGCCCAUUAGGACUAUGAAUUGAAUCCAUGUAUUUUCAACCUCUAUCUCCAGUGUCUCACACAAUCUCUGGGAUGGAGUAGAUAAGCAUUCAAUAAGUAUUUGUUGAAUUUGUUAAACAGAGAAAUUAAAUUAAAAUUGGUGAUAGCCUCAUUUCUCACUUCUGCCAGAGGGAAUCAAAUGAAAUUGACCUGAUACUUCCACUCUUGACUUCACUGAGUCAUUCUAUAUUUCUCUUAUAGCUCUCAAUUAUUUUUGAAUACUUUCCUUGCCAUUACCAUAACAUAAUCAUGCACAUUUUUAUGAACAUGCAUUCUCUCUUCUCUACAAAUGAAUGGAGUGAAGUGAAGAGUGGGGGAAAGUAUCAUUACAUGGCAAUAUGAGUGCAAAAUGCAGCCCCAAAGCAUCUUUCAAACCUUGGCAUCUGAAUAUUCCCAGGCAGGUCAUUUAAGGUCUGUGAUCCUCCGUUUCCUGAUUUAUAAAUUGAGGAUGAGAAUACCUCCCUCCAGGUGUGGUUGUGGGAGUCAGAGCUAUUAUAUAAAAACCUCUGACAGUGCACCUGGGACACAGUAGGUGCUCCAUAAAUCAUAAUACUAUAAUGUAUGUGAGAGCACUUUGUUAAGCUGUAGAGCAGGAUACAGAUGUUAGUUAGUGUUUCCCCUCAUCCUGGUAUUUCAGUGUUCUCUAGACUCAUCAUAAUUGUAAUACAUAGAAAAGUAUCCAGGAAGAAGCCAUAGUAAAGCCGGGUCCCACUACCAUAGUAACCAAAGAAGGGAAAAAGAAAAGGAAUACAAUGCAUACCUGAUUGCUUUUUGUUAUAUCCCUAUGCUUUGUGGAUGAUCAAUAGCCUCCUCCCCUCUACCACCUAGGAUGAUUUAACAAGUCUUUAUAUCCCUAGAAGUCCCAAGUAAUUGCCUUAUUCUAGUUCUACAAUGGCCAUCACUCCAAAGCAGAGACUUGAGCUGCGGCCUCUGCAGGUCACCUCCAGGCAUGUGAUCACCCUGGUGUCAGUGUCUCUUUAGACUCCUCAGUCUUUCUCCAAAAGCCAGGAACAGAGCUUUACUUAGGACACUUGGGGUUACAAACAAUGAAACCCGACUCCAGCUAGUGUGUCAGGAAAAUAGUAAGGCCUCCAAAUAGAAAUGGAACCAAAAACUGGAAAUACAUUAGGAAUCUGGAAGAGAUGUUAUUUUGUUUCUCUUCCUUGCUUCUCUUUUCUUGCUUGAUUCAUUCGUUCUUCCUCCUCCGUGUCCUGCUUUCUCUGUUUCUCAGCUGGCAGUUGCCAACCUCUCUUCCCAUCCUUAUACUUCUCUGUCUCCCACCAGUGCCGAGUUUUCUGAUGUCCCUCCAUUCUGGCCACACAGAGAAAUUAACUGGCUUUUCUGAAUCUGUUGAGCUCCCUUUUCUCAUCAGUAAUGGUGGGGAAAAGGUGGGAGAGUGUCAUAUGCUGUGAACACAGGAGUCAGGCCCGUCCCUGUGGAUGGGCAGUCAGUUCUCACAAGUCAUAAUGAUUACAGAGGAAAUCAGGUGUACCUGCACAGAGUAUGGUUUGCACAAGGUGACAUAUUUGAGGGUCCAGAGUAUAGGAGAUUAAGUAAUAUCAGAAUCAUUCAAGUUAAAUGAUAGAAAUUUUAUUAUCCUUAACUACCAACUCAUUCCCCUGACCAAUGGCAGCUCAGGUUUGAAGCCAUCAAUAAGCUGUAGGACAGGCCCCCUUUUCCUUUAUUGUUUUUAGACACUGUCUGUAUGCUGCUAAGCCACCUUGUUAGGUCUUGUUGAUCUUUGGAAGAAGACUAUACAGUAGAAAGUCCAGACCUGCAUCUGAGUUCUGAUUCUAUGACCUGAGUAAGUCUCACUACUCCUCAAACCUUCAGGGUACACACUUGCAAGAGGGGGAUGAUAGCAUCUGCCCUUCCUACUCUUGGAAAUGUUAGGAUAGUGUCUACAAAUAUGGGAUAAAAAACAUUUUGACAACUAUAAAUCAUUUUAUGAGUGUCAAUAAGCACUGAAGCUAAAAUUCUGAUUCUAGGGUCCCUCUGAUCUACAUUUAAAUUCUGGCCCAACUACUUAUUAGAGUGUCACUUUGGGCAAGUUAUGGCCCUCUGAACCUCAGUUUCCUUAUCUGUAAAAUUGGCAUUAAAAAGAUUGUCUUCUGGGAGUUCCCGUCGUGGCGAAGUGGUUAACAAAUCUGACUAGGAACCAUGAGUUUGCAGGUUCGGUCCCUGCCCUUGCUCAGUGGGUUAACGAUCCGGCAUUGCCCUGAGCUCUGGUGUAGGUUGCAGAUGCAGCUCGGAUCCUGUGUUGCUGUGGCUGUGGCUGUGGCCGGCAGCUACAGCUCUGAUUAGACCCCUAGCCUGGGAACCUCCAUAUACUGUGGGAGUGGCCCAAUAAAUGGCAAAAAGACAACAACAACAAAAAAAAAGAUUGUCUUCUGUUAAGUGUUAAAUGUGACUGUGUGAAUAAAGUGCUUUGUACAGUGUCUGCUAUUCAAAAAUUCUUCAUUAUUCAUUAUUCAUCUUAAUUAUAAUGUUUUAUAACAUUAUUAAUUCCUAUCGGGGCUAUAGAUUGAACUUUUAGCUUCUUUCUAAAACUAACAAAAUUUUAGUUACCUUUUGUUACUAGAAAAGAAGUUAGACUUUGACUCCAAAGUAGUUGAUUUUCCUAUCUCCACAGAACAUUUGCUUCUUAGGUAGAUUCUUUUUCUUUAAUCCACGAAAGACUUUGUCUUUCUACUUUUAUAUCUUGAGACCCUAGAGACUCUGAGUUCAGAGUCUCUGCCUUUAGCUGUCAGGUCCUGCUUUCUAGGCCUUUCAUCUCAAAAUCAGCCAUGUUGGCUCUUGCCUGUCACUUUUUGUCUCCUUCUUCAAUUAUUCAUUUGUUGAUUAGUUUUUGGACUGAGAUGAUCGAAGCCUUCCAAACGCUACCACUAGUAUUAAGUUGUUUUUUUUUUUUCCUGUGUAAUCCCAAACGUCAGAAAUAGAACUAAUAGGAGGAUUCCAAAUGGGUGCAGGUAUCUGGUUAAAUAGAACAAAAGUUAGAUCUUUCUAUUUAUUGCCUAUGGGUAGAAUAGGCAAUAUUUACUCCUGAGAAAUGUUGAAACAGAAUCUAGACAGCCACAUGACACAAAGUUAAGGAGAAUCAAGCACCGGAUGGAGGCUGGAGCUAGAUGAAUGAUCUUCAAAGCCCAUCUUGAAUCUUCCCCUAUAGUGUACCUAUCGCCCCACCAAGCAACACGAAUACAGGGAAGGGGGGAGGGGGGCCUGACUCCCAAGUUCCAAAGGCAGAGAGAGUCAGGCUGGUGUUCGCAAGGUGUGAGUCUGUGUUUAGGUGACUGCAUUUCAAAAAUAUAUCUAUGUCUUUUGAGUGGAGCAUUCAGUCUGUUGACAUUUAAGGAAUGACUGCUAAAUAUGUAUUUAUUGCCAUUUUAAACCUUGUUUUCCAGUUGAUUCUAUGUUUCUCCUUUUUCCUUUCUUUUUUUGGUUGGAUGAUUUCCAUAUAUUUUAUGCUGGAGUACUUUUCUUUUUAGUUUUUGUGAAUGUAAUGUUUGGUUUUGAUUUGUGGUUGCCCUGUUUUUUAGGUACUUUAACGCCUUCCUGUAUCUGUUUGCUUUAGCCUGAUAGUCAUAUAGGCUCAAAAUUAUUAUUUAAAAAAAAAAAAUAAGAGUCUAUAUUUUCUUACUUUCCUUCCCCACAUUGUAUGAUUUUGAAGUCCUUUUUUAACAUCUUCAUGUUUGUCGUUUUGCUGUUCCUUGUGUUUAUCAUCACUAUUAUAUAGUUGGAUUUUGGGGUUUUUUUCACUCUAAGAUCUGUAUGCUGGUUUAUUUAAGUGAUUACUUUCCAAUUGUAGUUUCCUCCAUCCUAUUUCUUCUUACUUUUUUUAUUUAGAGACGCUCUUUCAGUAUUUCUUUUAGAAUGUGUUUAGUAUUGCUGUACUCUUUUAGCUUUUGUUUGUUGGAGAAAUUCUAUAUUUCCCCUUCUAUUUUAGAUGAUAUUCUUGCUGGAUAGAGUAUUCUAGGCUGCAAAUGUUUUCCUUUCAGAACUUUGAAUAUAUCUUGCCACUCUCUUCUAGCCUGUAGUGUUUCUGUAGAGAAAGCAGCUGAUAGCCUUAUGGGGGUUCCCUUAUAAUUAAUGCCUUGUUUUUCUCUUGCUGCCUUUAAAAUCCUCUCUUUAUCUUUACCUUUUGCCAUUUUUAUUAUACUAUGUCUUGGUGUGGGCCUAUUUGGGUUCAACUUGUCUGGGGUCUUCUGUGCUUCCUGUAUCUUGAUAUCAGUUUCCUUUAGAUUUGGAAAGUUUUCAGACAUAAUUUCUUCAAAUAUAUUUUCAAUCCCCUUUUCAAAAACUUCUCCUUCUGGAAUUCCUAUUAUGCAUAGAUUGACCCACUUUAUGUUAUCCCAUAGAUCUCUUAUAUUGCUUUCAUGCCUUUUCAUUUGGUUUUCUGUCUGCUGUCCUGAUUGAGUGAUUUCCAUUAUUCUAUCUUCCAAGUCACUAAUUCAUUCCUCUGCAUUAUUCAUUCUGCUCCUUAGUGACGUUAGCUCAGUUUGCAUCUCUGCAAAUGAAUUUUCUAAUUUUCUAUGUUUCUCUUUAUAUUUUCUAGUUCAUUUCUAAAGGAAUCUGCAUUACUAUUCAUAUCCACUCUUAAUUCAGCCUUAAUUCCUUCAGUAUUUUCAUUAUUUCCCUUGUGAACUCAGUGUCUAUUAGACUGCAGAGCUCUGUUUCAUUGUUUGCUGCUUCAGGUGAAUUCUCCUGUUCUUUUAACUGGGAAUGGUUCCUAAGCUUCUUUAUAUUGCUUAUGUUUUUCUUUUUCUGUGAGUUUAGGGAAGCCAAAGUGUGGUCUUGGAGGGUUACUUCUAUGCAAGAGCACCCCUUUGUAUUUUGUAGAGGGUUACUAUUUAUUUUUUGCAUGGGAAUUUGGAUAUUUGCUGUCUCUUUCUUUGGUGUGAGCAGGCUGUUAUCCCCAGAGUGCUGAGUGUGUUUCUAGGGAAAAGGAAGCAAUAGGUAGGGCUAGUAGUCAGGGCCUGAUUGCUGGGCUGUUAACAGCAGCAAGUACCUGCAGGAAGGUGGCACAAGCUACUCCUAGUUGCAGGGCCCUGGAACGUGGUAAUGAGCCUUAAGCAGAUUUACAAGAUGCCCAGAGCAUUUGGCAGUGGCAGGGGGUAUGAGUUCCCAGGGGAGUAAGAGCAGCAACAGAUAGUAUUGGCUAGCAAUGCCACCUCUGAGAUGAUUGGGGCCACAAGCAAUGCCUGUUAAGGGACCCCUAGUGUUAGCAGGCCAUGCCCACUUCUGGAGUCAGUGAUAACUGUGGUGGUUUGCCCCUGCCACCUGUAUACCAUGCAAGAAGCACCCCUCCUGCUUAGCCCACAUAGGAGGUGCUGUACAGGCUGCUCCUAGUUGCAGAAUCCUGGAAAGUAAGAGUGAUCAAGUGUGUGGGCACUGCCUGGAAAGAAACAAAGGACAAACAGAAUAAACUGGAAACAAAGUUUAAAAUGGCAAUAAAUACAUAUUUAUCAAUAAUUACCUUAAGUGUCAAUGGACUGAAUGCUCCAAUCAAAGACACAGAGUGAAAGAUUGGAUAAAAAAGGAAAAAAACCUACAAUCUACUCUCUACAAGAGACCCACGUUAGGGCAAAGGAUGCAUAUAGAUUGAAGGUGAAGGGAUAGGAAAAGAUAUUUCAUGCCAAUGGACGAGACAGGAAAGCAGGAGUUGCAAUACUUAUAUCAGACAAAGUAGACUUUAAAUUGAAGGCCAUAAAGAAAGACAAAGAAGGACACUAUUUAAUGGUAAAAGGAUCCAUUCAAGAAGAGGAUGUUACAAUCAUCAAUAUCUAUGCCCCUAAUAUAGGAGCACCCAGAUACCUACAACAUAUACUAACACAUAUAAAAGGAGAAAUUGGAGUUCCCAUUGUGGCACAGUGGUUAACGAAUCCGACUAGGAACCAUGAGGUUGCGGGUUCGGUCCCUGCCCUUGCUCAGUGGGUUAAGGGUCCAGCGUUGCCAUGAGCUGUGGUGUAGGUCGCAGACGCAGCUC
rnacentral:lncRNA from 1 species